rnacentral:rRNA from 1 species
GACUGGUGUGCGCCUGAUGCGGCGAUCUGCGGCCAAAAGGUCGUUGCGAUCUGCCCGUCCUGGCGCCGUAAAAUUUGCAACUGGGUCGCCGCUGGCCUUAAUUGAUCGGUGGCGUCUGCUCGGUUGCUCGUUUACUGUGAGAAAAUUGGAGUGUUCAAGGCAGGCGUGGAUUGCAACUGAACAUGGUUAGCAUUGAAUAAUAAGAUAGGGCUCCGGCUCAUAUUUUGUUGGUUUCUAGAGCGUGGAAGUAAUGAUUGAUAGGGACAGUUGGGGGUCCUAGUAUUCAGCGGCCAGAGGUGAAAUUCAUGGAUUCGCUGAAGACUGACUUAUGCGAAAGCAUU